CAGCAAACGGAAUAUCCAAGAGUUGUCGGUACGAUUGAUCGUGUUAUUUGACCUAUGAUCGAUCAUCAAUUUUCAUUUAAAUUACUUAUUCAGCCAUUAGGAAGGAAAAAAAUUACUUAUUCAUCCGACAGAGUGUGCUUUGCGUUGGUAGUAAAAACAUCUGACAGUGAGUGUGCGACAUUCAGAGCAGAAUUGUGAAACGUGCUGUGCGAUACAAUCCUUUAUGAAAUUCUUGAUGUUCCAUGAAAUUUCAUGGCUUUCUUUCUAUCAAGAUCAUAAUUCCUGAUUAUUUUAAUGUGAAUAUAAUUUAUAUGUACACAUAUACUAUAUUUGGGUAUAGGAUAAUAUCAAUUCUAAUAUUUUGAAACAUCUACUCAAUAAUGCUGAGUCUUUUAACAUUAUCGAACAUAAUUAUAUAAUUCCCACUAAUCACGGCCACUGACUGAUGUCCGAGCAAUACUGGCUGUUUCAUCAAGCAUAUGAUAUUAAGGGAAAAAAUCAUUUUGAAUUUAAAACGGGACGAUAAAACAAACAUGAGCUCUGUAUGUCACAUAAUGCAUUUAAUAAUACGUCUGCCGCCAUAAUGCAGAAAGUAAUAAAGAUACUUGAAAAUUCCA